AUUGAACGCUGGCGGCAGGCCUAACACAUGCAAGUCGAGCGGAGCGGCGGACGGGUGAGUAAUGCCUAGGAAUCUGCCUGGUAGUGGGGGAUAACGUCCGGAAACGGGCGCUAAUACCGAAUACUAUCAGAUGAGCUAGGUCGGAUUAGCUAGUGGGUGGGGUAAAGGCCUACCAAGGCGACGAUCCGUAACUGGUCUGAGAGGAUGAUCAGUCACACUGUAACUGUGACACGGGCCAGACUCGUACGGUGGUCAGCAGGGGGGAAUAUUGGACAAUGGGCGAAAGCCUGAACCAGCCAUGCGGCGUGUGUGAAGAAGGUCUUCGGAUUGUAAAGCUCUUUAAGUUGGUAGGCGUUACCAACAGAAUAAGCACCGGCUAACUGCGUGCCAGCCGCCGCGGUAUUA
rnacentral:rRNA from 1 species